rnacentral:rRNA from 1 species
AGCAGCCGCGGUAAUUCCAGCUCCAAUAGCGUAUAUUAAAGUUGUUGCAGUUAAAAAGCUCGUAGUUGAAUUUCGGGGUCAGUAGGUUGGUCGUGCCACUGGUAUGAACUGGUCUCACUGAUUCCUCCCUCUUGUAGAACCGUGAUGCCAUUAAUUUGGUGUUGCGGGGAAACAGGACUGUUACUUUGAAAAAAUUAGAGUGUUUAAAGCAAGCUAACGCUUGAAUACAUUAGCAUGGAAUAAUGAAAUAGGACGUCUGUCUUAUUUUGUUGGUUUCUAGGAUGGACGUAAUGAUUAAUAGGGAUAGUUGGGGGCAUUAGUAUUCAAUUGUCAGAGGUGAAAUUCUUAGAUUUAUUGAAGACUAACUACUGCGAAAGCAUUUGCCAAGGAUGUUUUCAUUAAUCAAGAACGAAAGUUAGGGGAUCGAAGACGAUCAGAUACCGUCGUAGUCUUAACCAUAAACUAUGCCGACUAGGGAUCGGAUGAUGUUAAUUUUUAAUGACUCAUUCGGCGCCUUACG